rfam:Candidate divison MSBL1 archaeon SCGC-AAA259E19 AAA259E19_Contig_5, whole genome shotgun sequence.
GGGAGACUAGGUCAAACCUAGCCCCAAAGCGCCGCACUGAAGAUGCGGUUGUCGAGGGUUCAAAUCCCUCUCCCC